rnacentral:lncRNA from 13 species
CUAAUGGUCUCAGGGAGGAUUCUAACUUUGUAUUUUGGAAACCCAGAAGAUUCAGAAAGACUCCUUGCUGCUGAUGAGGCAGAGUCCAGAAUGCACAGCAGUUUCUGGAACAUAGCAGAAGCACAAUAAAUGCUUAUCAAGAGGACUGAUGCUCCAUUUGGCCUGCUCAAGUUAGAGCCAGCUCCUCUAUGCUCUGUCUUUGUCAACAGACUUUCCCAGCCAUUGAGGCAAACCAGCGCAGACUGAUGGAUUUCACCCAAAGUUAUUAAUUCGUUAACAAUUGGCUGUAAAAGUAUGCGUAUGGAAACAAAUGGGGAAACUAAAAACCAGAUUUGCAGUUGCAGUGUAAAAAUAUAAUUGCCAUGCGUUAGCAAAAAGAAAGGCCCCUCACAGAUUGCAAAUGUUAUUUUAAUACAUAAGGAAAUUGUACUGGAUUUAAUGAAU